CUUUCCCCAUCUUGUGCAAAAUUUUGUAAACGCCGCGGUUAUGUCCUUUUAGCUUUUUCUAACGUAAUUCUUUCAAAAUUGACUGGUAGAAAUCAAAAUUACAAUGUUUAAAGAAGAAUUGAAAAUUUUUAGAGAGAACCAACAAGAAGACGAAACUGAAUUGCCUUUACAAACGCGAAUACGUCAAUCGUUGUAUACCAGUUUACUGGAGUUCGAGGAGAUUUCUCAUUCUUCUCAGGACGACUCGCUGAAAAAAAUUAGCAAAGUUACGGCUAUUUGCGGUGGGAACACGUUGGAUAUUCAUCCACAAGAGCCAUGGCCCCAGCCGAUUCAUCUGUACCAGCCUUACGAGGUGGAGCAGAUUUUGUUACCUGACAACGCGAAUUGUUUGGCUGUUCAGGCCUACCUCAAAAUGUGCAACUUGGACUUUACGAUUGAGCCUAGAUGGAAUGCCGAGUACAUGUCCCCCUCUGCAAAAGUUCCUUUCAUCAAGUGUGGAGCCUUUGUCAUUCCGGACUACGAUAACAUUGUGUCCUUUAUAAGUAGCAAGGGUGCAAGUCUUUCCGAAGGCCUGUCAGAAGAGGACAAGGUCAAUCUGAGAGCCUACCAAUCGUUGGUCAACAAUGUCCUGCACAAUGCUGAGUUGUAUGUCUGUUGGUGCCACGAGGAUACAUAUAAUAGCAUUACAAAAAAUAGACAUGGAAGUGUGUACCCAUGGCCAUUGAAUCACCUGCUUAAUUGGCAGAAAAGAAAUCAAAUAACAAAGAGAUUAAAUGUCCUUGGCUAUGCUACUAAAACAUUGAAAGAGAUCUUCGACGAUGUUGAAAAAUGCUGUGAAGCACUUUCCGAGAGGCUAGAGGAUAAGAUGUACUUUUUUGGAGACAGUCCAAAUGAAUUAGAUGCUUUGGUUUUUUCCCAUGUCCACACCUUGACAACAUCAAAUCUUCCAUCACCUAUUCAAGAGUUAGCCGCAAUCAUUCGCAGAUAUCCUCUCCUUAUAGAUCAUGCUUACUUGAUUAACAAAUGCUUUUUCAAUCGCACACCCAACCUCAGCAUUGAUAGCUUUGAAGUGAUAGAAGAUUCAUCAGAAGAAAUUUAUGUAAAUCCUUUUGAUCAAAUUCCAUGCUAAAUCAUCAAAAUAAAUCAUGAAUUCCUUUAUUUUUUGUUACAAAAAUCAAUAGACCCAACGAACUAGAUGCUCUGGUAUUUGGACAUAUAUUCAGUAUAAUAACAACACCACUUACUAAAGAUAAUACUUUGGCCAAUAUAGUGAGGAACCAUCCAACCCUCAUCAAACAUUGCAGAAACAUCGAGGAUAGCAUUUUUUCACCCCAUGCUAUAGGGAUCAAGUAGUCUAAUGAACAGAAAAUGUGUUGGAGGCAAGAAUUAUGUAACGCGACAAAUUUUUUUUGGAAUACGUGUCAGAUGCGUGCACGGGAUUUUCUCAAGGAUGUUACUCGUGCUAUGAUUCAAAGCAUUAGAAGUUUUUUUAAGGAAAUUAUCACACUUUGUGUCUUUCAACCACACCUCAACAAAGUACCUGUAUACUAUUAAAUUAUUACGACUUCUAGAGUAAGAUUACGUUAAUCAUGAAUGGAUUACUUGGUGCCUGAAAGAUCUAAAGUACAAUUUUAUGAAUCUUAAUUUUUGUACUCAAAACGAUUGUACAUAUCAAUAUAUGCUUUUGCACACAAAGUUCUUAAUAUAUUCUACAAUCAUAUUUCAAUAUUUAUACGUCUCUGUAAAUAAUAAUAACGCACAAGUUGUUUGAAAGCGAUUUUUUAUACUAAACUCAAUAAAACAGAGAAACGAAACAAUUCUGACAUUUUUUUAUUACAAUAGUUUCCUUUCCAAGAUGCAUCCUACACCUUCAAAACACACAUAACAUGACAUUAUUUAUAAUUCUUGCCUCCAGCAAGUAGAACGUGAUAGGUGGAUAAAAAUAAAUAACACUGGUUUAUUCUUUUAUUUCAAACAUUUAUUUGUAAAGUGUGGAAGAAUUUUUUUUAAAUAAUCACAUUAAAUUUAAUAACGGUUGCAAAGUAAAACUCGUGAUAUAACUCUGUACUCUAGAAGUGAGGUGAAAAAAUAUAUAAUAUAAAUUUCUUCUCUAAAAUUUUCAAUUGAACGCGCAAGUGACGUAACAUUUCGCAGGUACAAUUACAAUUUUAUUUUACAUUUUUCAACCUUUGCACCUCAUUUCUAAAGUGGAUUGAUAUUCUCAACAGUUUCACGUAAAUUUUAAAUUUGAUGCAAAUUUAGCCGUACUGUGCGUCAUCGGAAUUAUCUAUAGGUAUUAGAAAAAUUGAAAAAUUAGAAAUUGCGUCAAAACAACUAAAUUAUUCUGCUAUUGAUUUACUAUUUUUUCUCUUUUUUUUGACGGUAUACACAACAGUUCAUAGAGUUACAAUCGAACUAUGGAUUGUGGAAGCUACUUUACAGUAUUAUUGCGCAGUUUAUAACAAGCUAUAUAAAUGCUUAAAGUAUUGAACGCCGCCUAAAUUAAUGCACACUAGCACCCAUUACAAGUUGGGUUGUAUUCUCUCCAAUAAUUAGUACUUUAUAAAUUUUGAUUAGCUCUUUUUCUCAUUGUCGCUUACAUUUACUCAGUGUAAAAUGAACGGCAUCUCUUUUGUGUGCGAAUAAGUUAUUAUGUGUAGUAGUUUAUGCCUUUUUUAUAAUAAUAUAUUAUUAACUAUCUUAAUUACAAUGUUGCUUUUUUUUUAAAUAUUUAUAAUGAAAUGUUUGAAUUUAAAAAAUAAAAGAGCUAUUUCGUUUUGAUGAGAGAAAAUAAAUGAGUAGACAAAAAAAAAUGUAAUUAAACGCAAACUGAAUAAAAAAAACAAUUUGUAAAAUUUGUGAAAAAAAAACUCCUAAGAUGUAUACGUUUCAUCGUUAAAAAAAUAAUAAAAUUCGACUAGUCCAAUAAAUGGGGUAUGAUACAUAAAAUUCUUAUAUAUGGGUUUUAUUACAUAUGUCUCUAAAUUUGCUAAAAUUGUUAAUAUGAACUUGGUCUAUAAUCUAAGUCAUACAAAUUAUUUUACAACCUUUUUUCCUUUGUUCAUUAUUAUAUCUUUAAUCCGUAAACGGAUGCAAUGCUUGGAGAUGCAUAUAACGACCAUAGUCUUUUUUCCAGCAAUUAUAAAAAUCCGCAACUUUUCCAUCGGCAUUACAACUGAGAUCACAUUAAUAAUAAUA